rnacentral:rRNA from 1 species
CGACACUGUGUGUUGUUGGGUAGGGGAGCGUUCUGUAAGCCUGUGAAGGUGUGUCGUGAGGCAUGCUGGAGGUAUCAGAAGUGCGAAUGCUGACAUAAGUAACGAUAAAGCGGGUGAAAAGCCCGCUCGCCGGAAGACCAAGGGUUCCUGUCCAACGUUAAUCGGGGCAGGGUGAGUCGACCCCUAAGGCGAGGCCGAAAGGCGUAGUCGAUGGGAAACGGGUUAAUAUUCCCGUACUUGGUGUUACUGCGAAGGGGGGACGGAGAAGGCUAUGUUGGCCGGGCGACGGUUGUCCCGGUUUAAGCGUGUAGGUGUGUGUUCCAGGUAAAUCCGGUUCACUUUAACACUGAGGCGUGACGACGAGGCACUACGGUGCUGAAGCAACAAAUGCCCUGCUUCCAGGAAAAGCCUCUAAGCAUCAGGUAACAUCAAAUCGUACCCCAAACCGACACAGGUGGUCAGGUAGAGAAUACCAAGGCGCUUGAGAGAACUCGGGUGAAGGAACUAGGCAAAAUGGUGCCGUAACUUCGGGAGAAGGCACGCUGACACGUAGGUGAAGUGAUUUACUCAUGGAGCUGAAGUCAGUCGAAGAUACCAGCUGGCUGCAACUGUUUAUUAAAAACACAGCACUGUGCAAACACGAAAGUGGACGUAUACGGUGUGACGCCUGCCCGGUGCCGGAAGGUUAAUUGAUGGGGUCAGCGCAAGCGAAGCUCCUGAUCGAAGCCCCGGUAAACGGCGGCCGUAACUAUAACGGUCCUAAGGUAGCGAAAUUCCUUGUCGGGUAAGUUCCGACCUGCACGAAUGGCGUAAUGAUGGCCAGGCUGUCUCCACCCGAGACUCAGUGAAAUUGAACUCGCUGUGAAGAUGCAGUGUACCCGCGGCAAGACGGAAAGACCCCGUGAACCUUUACUAUAGCUUGACACUGAACAUUGAGCCUUGAUGUGUAGGAUAGGUGGGAGGCUUUGAAGUGUGGACGCCAGUCUGCAUGGAGCCGACCUUGAAAUACCACCCUUUAAUGUUUGAUGUUCUAACGUGGACCCGUUACCCGGGUUGCGGACAGUGUCUGGUGGGUAGUUUGACUGGGGCGGUCUCCUCCUAAAGAGUAACGGAGGAGCACGAAGGUUGGCUAAUCCUGGUCGGACAUCAGGAGGUUAGUGCAAUGGCAUAAGCCAGCUUGACUGCGAGCGUGACGGCGCGAGCAGGUGCGAAAGCAGGUCAUAGUGAUCCGGUGGUUCUGAAUGGAAGGGCCAUCGCUCAACGGAUAAAAGGUACUCCGGGGAUAACAGGCUGAUACCGCCCAAGAGUUCAUAUCGACGGCGGUGUUUGGCACCUCGAUGUCGGCUCAUCACAUCCUGGGGCUGAAGUAGGUCCCAAGGGUAUGGCUGUUCGCCAUUUAAAGUGGUACGCGAGCUGGGUUUAGAACGUCGUGAGACAGUUCGGUCCCUAUCUGCCGUGGGCGCUGGAGAACUGAGGGGGGCUGCUCCUAGUACGAGAGGACCGGAGUGGACGCAUCACUGGUGUUCGGGUUGUCAUGCCAAUGGCACUGCCCGGUAGCUAAAUGCGGAAGAGAUAAGUGCUGAAAGCAUCUAAGCACGAAACUUGCCCCGA